rnacentral:rRNA from 1 species
GUGACUGCGUACCUUUUGUAUAAUGGGUCAGCGACUUAUAUUCUGUAGCAAGGUUAACCGUAUAGGGGAGCCGGAGGGAAACCGAGUCUUAACCGGGCGUUAAGUUGCAGGGUAUAGACCCGAAACCCGGUGAUCUAGCCAUGGGCAGGUUGAAGGUUGGGUAACACUAACUGGAGGACCGAACCGACUAAUGUUGAAAAAUUAGCGGAUGACCUGUGGCUGGGGGUGAAAGGCCAAUCAAACCGGGAGAUAGCUGGUUCUCCCCGAAAGCUAUUUAGGUAGCGCCUCGUGAAUUCAUCUCCGGGGGUAGAGCACUGUUUCGGCUAGGGGGCCAUCCCGGCUUACCAACCCGAUGCAAACUGCGAAUACCGGAGAAUGUUAUCACGGGAGACACACGGCGGGUGCUAACGUCCGUCGUGAAGAGGGAAACAACCCAGACCGCCAGCUAAGGUCCCAAAGUCAUGGUUAAGUGGGAAACGAUGUGGGAAGGCCCAGACAGCCAGGAUGUUGGCUUAGAAGCAGCCAUCAUUUAAAGAAAGCGUAAUAGCUCACUGGUCGAGUCGGCCUGCGCGGAAGAUGUAACGGGGCUAAACCAUGCACCGAAGCUGCGGCAGCGAACGUAUCACCCAAGACAACUUUACGGAGUUGACGAUUGACGGAGCGAAGCGACGUCAAAGCGUUCAUUAAAGUCGAGUUGGCUUAGGGAUACGUUCGUUGGGUAGGGGAGCGUUCUGUAAGCCUGUGAAGGUGUGUCGUGAGGCAUGCUGGAGGUAUCAGAAGUGCGAAUGCUGACAUAAGUAACGAUAAAGCGGGUGAAAAGCCCGCUCGCCGGAAGACCAAGGGUUCCUGUCCAACGUUAAUCGGGGCAGGGUGAGUCGACCCCUAAGGCGAGGCCGAAAGGCGUAGUCGAUGGGAAACGGGUUAAUAUUCCCGUACUUGGUGUUACUGCGAAGGGGGGACGGAGAAGGCUAUGUUGGCCGGGCGACGGUUGUCCCGGUUUAAGCGUGUAGGUGUGUGUUCCAGGUAAAUCCGGUUCACUUUAACACUGAGGCGUGACGACGAGGCACUACGGUGCUGAAGCAACAAAUGCCCUGCUUCCAGGAAAAGCCUCUAAGCAUCAGGUAACACGAAAUCGUACCCCAAACCGAC